rnacentral:sRNA from 1 species
CUGUUGCAACCAACCAGCUGCUGCCUCUCCACCGCUGAUGGCUGUUUGUUCCAGGUGGACCAUGAUGAAAAUUUAGUUCUUUUACACGCAUCCCCUGCUUGGGAUCACCCCGACUGUCGGCACGAUGAACCUCCUUUACCCUCAGUUCCCAGGCCCAGAGUAAAACUUGGAUUCCCUGCUCGAGGAACCCCUCCUCCAUUGCGCGUCUGUUCCGCUCUCCCUUGCUUUGCUCUGGCUCCUUACUGGAAUACAGGCGCAUCGCGGGCAUCAUCAUUGCAGCAUCUGACAUCCAUACCAUCCCAUCAGUGUUCGCCGGGACUCUUUUUGUUGUAAUUUUGGCUCCUCUUCUUGCUCACUAGUACUAGCUCUAUCGCCACCCCACGUUCCUUCUUACAAACAACUCCUCCCCUUCGGCGGCAUUUCUUCGGCGAUUUAUUCAUAGGUGUAUGGACACGAGCUGCCUGCCUGCCCGCGCCGUAGCUAGGUAGGGAGGAAGGAAGGGAGGAAGGGAGUGGGAGAAAGGGAGUGGGAGAAAGGAACUGGGGACUGACUGAUUCUUGAUGGGAAACGUCAAAAGGAAAACCUGUCAUGGCAACCAUGCAAAAUAACAGGGGUUUUCUGCACAGAGACGAUGGCAGGGUUAUCUUGCACUUUGUUAGUGGACCCUUGAAAUUUUCUUCUAAUUUCUACUCUUUCCUUUUUCCCCUUUACGUGCAGUUCCGGUUGGGAUGCCCCUUUCCCUCCUCCCCAACAGUUCGCCACUGCUCUGUUAGCCUUUUCAAGAAGUCGAAUAUAAAUCAGUGGAAAAUUUGCACUAUCCCAUGCCUAAUCCAGCGCGCAUUGGCGUACCACGCCGCGUGCUCCCUUUUCUUUUUUUUCCCCCCGACAUUCGGCUGUGUAUCAAUUGAAAGUCGACCCAAAAAGGACACCCAAACAAUUUUAUUUUUUUUAAAAAAAAAAUACAUAAAUAAAUAAAAAAUAAACAUUUUCCUACCAACAAAACAACCAUAAUAAUAACAAUAAACAAUAGGACUAUGACUCCUUCUACGCCUCCGUAUUCGAAGUGGAAAACCCCGCGCUGAAAGCAGUGCCGCUGGCCGUCCAGCAGAAGCAGAUUGUCGUCACGUGUAACUAUGAAGCGCGCCGGCGCGGCUUGCGCAAGUUGCAACUGAUCAAGGAGGCGAAGAAGGUGUGUCCGGACGUGGUGAUCGUGCUGGGCGAGGAUUUGACCAGGUUCCGCGAUGCGAGCAAGGAGAUCUAUACGUUUCUGAAGGGGUAUGUGUCGGGCUGGGGCGGGAGGGUUGAGAGGUUGGGGUUUGAUGAGGUAUUCUUGGACGUCACCUCUUUGGUGGACUACAACAUCGAGCUUCUCAACUACAAUGACCUAUCCAGCUCCUUUUUCCAUCUUGACAAGACAGACCCAACUCAGGGCUUUGCAUACGAUGCCCGCACAGUGUCGGGGCCUUCUUAUCCCCCAUCUCACCAAUCCGAUGAUGGCUCAGCCCCAUAUGCCACAUCAGACUCUCAGACACAUCCGUUCUCACCCAGUAGCAAAGACAAUGCAAAUAGCAACGCACUAUGCCAACGCCUGAUCCUUGGUUCGCAUCUAGCGGGCUACAUCCGCACCCAACUCGAAGAACACAAAGGUUACACAGCCACAGUGGGCAUCUCCACCUCCAAGCUUCUAGCAAAGCUUGCGGGAAACGUCCACAAGCCGCGGAACCAGACGACUCUUCUGCCUCCGUAUGAUUCCACCGAUGAGUGUGGCGCUUGUGCUGACGACGACGACGACAACCACAACGACAUCGACAUCGACAUCGAAAAUGACAAUGACAAUGACAAUGCUGACAAAGAACACGCCCAUGUCCAACAGGGCACCAUCACCCGUUUCCUCGACGCCCAUGACAUCAGCGCAAUCCCGGGCAUCGGUUUCAAAAUAGCCCAGAAGAUCCGCGCGCACAUUCUCGGCCGCCAGCCUACAUCGGGCAUGUACGAACAGCUCUCGAAAGAGGACCACGUCACCGUCAGAGAUGUCCGGCUAUAUCCGGGCAUGUGUCCGCGGAUGCUGAAUGAGAUACUACUAUCGCCGUCUUCCGGCGGCAUCAGCGGUGGAAGUGUCAGCGGCAGGGCUGGGGCCGGCGGAACAUGGCCUAGGGAUAUCGGAAUGAAGGUCUGGGGAUUACUUCAUGGGAUCGACCCGAGCCUCGUGGCGGAGGCUAGAGCUGCCCCCACGCAGAUCAGCAUUGAGGAUUCGUAUGGCGUUGGGAGGUUGGAGGGGUUAAAUGUGGUGCGAUUGGAGCUGGUGGGGCUGGUUCGGAGUCUUCUUAGGCGCAUGCUUGUUGACUUGACUGAGGAGGUUGAAGAGGAGGAAGCACAAGGAGAAGAGGAGGCAGAAGCAGAAAAAGAGGAGGAGGAGGAUGUUGCUGAAAGAACAAAAACGACGAAGAGACGAUGGCUUGCGCACCCGCGCACACUUCGGCUGUCGACACGCUCACGCCUUCCCCCGCUCACUGACGGGACGCGCGAUUUCAGCGCGGGGCGGGUGUCGAGGUCCUGUCCUCUACCGACGUAUGUGUUUGCUUCGCUGCUUAACAUUGGCAAUAUUAACCAUGGUCCUCGGAAUCAUCAGAGCCAUGAUAAGAGCGGUGGUGAUGGCUAUGGCAAUGACAACAAAGCCGUUGAUGGCAGGAGCUAUAGAAGGGGAGGAGGAGGAGGAACAUGGGAAUCAAUAGACCCUCUAGCCAGCCGCCUCGUUAACGAAACCAUCCUCCCGCUCUUUCGCAGACUGCAUCCGGAAAAAUCGGGCGCGGGAA